AGGCACCUUUGCUUACCUGAUUGGUGACAGCUUUGCCAAGUUAGGUCUGGGAAUGAUUGCCGAUGGGACGCCGGUAUUCGGCCUUACCGGCUGGGCAGGCACCUUCGCCGCGCUGGAUAUCGCCGCGAUUGGUUGUAUCUGCCUGAUGGCGAUAGUGGCGGUAAUGGAAGAACGCAAAAUCCGCCGCGAGAAAAAAAUUCAGCAGUUGACAGUGGCAUAAACGUAACUGGUGACUUUUGCCCGGCAUGACGCCGGGCUUUUUUUAU
rnacentral:sRNA from 1 species